CCAAGACUGAGUGCACACGUUUCCAUCAAGCCAGGCAGAAGGGCCACCAGGUGACCGCAGCAGCCAACCCCAAGGGGUCUCUGGCAGAGCUUUGGGCUUCUCUGCAGAUGUCGAGGUAUCUGCAUAUCCAACUCUUCAUUGUCCCUGGUGCAGGUUAACCAUGCUCUGCAGGGUACCUCUUUAUCCCCUCAGCCUGUCCCAGGCCUCCUGCCAGUGUCCACAGUGCUGUGCGUUGGGUGUCUAAUUCCACCUCCCCCUGAGAGGUCACUGACAUGUGAACACAUGCUCCUAACAAGUUGACCCCAGUCUUGCUGAAAUUGCCUAGACUGUAUUAUUUUCUUCCCCAUACUUGACAUAGAGCAUAAGCUGAGAGGUACAUAAUACAUGCCAUAAUUUAUGACGGUGCUUAGGUAAAGCCAUGCAAACUCGUCUAUCAUUGCCAGGUUCAUUUCCAGUGGUGUUCAUUGAAGAGCCAGACUUCUCAAGACCUGUCUUCACCUGCUGUCUCCACCUCCUGUUCACCACUCAACCCAUUCCAUGUGGCUGUUGCCCUCAUCAUCCUAUUAAAACCAGCUGCAAUAAUCUCCAUAUUUGUACCUUCAGCCUAGACCCCUCAUUCAACUCUAGACCUAUGGGUCUGACUGCUUAUUCAACAUCUCCUUAGGGUGACUUCAAAUUCAACAUGAUCAAAACUGCGUGAUCUUCUGCUGAGCCUGGUUCCUCUACUAAGGUUUCCUACCUUACUGAAUGACUCUCUUUCAUCCAUACAAGCUGGAAGAAUAGAGCCUUCUUGUCCUUACCACUAAUUCCUAUCCACC
rnacentral:lncRNA from 10 species